rnacentral:rRNA from 1 species
AGCUUGCUACCGAUGGUGAGAGUGGCGCACGGGUGCGUAACGCGUGAGCAACCUGCCCAUAUCAAGCUGAUAGCCCGGAGAAAUCCGGAUUAACACCGCAUGACACUGCUUUCCGGCAUCCGGAGGUCGUCGAAUAUUCGUAGGAUAUGGAUGGGCUCGCGUGACAUUAUCUAGUUGCUGCGGUAACGGCCCACCAUCGCGACCAUGUCUAGGGGCUCUAAGAGGAGAAUCCCCCACACUGGUACUGAGACACGGACCAGACUCCUACGGGAGGCAACAUUAAGGAAUAUUGGUCAAUGGGGGCAACCCUGAACCAGCCAUGCCGCGUGCAGACGACUGCCCUAUGGGUUGUAAACUGCUUUUGUUAGGGAAGAAACCCCGCUACGUGUAGCUGACUGAAUGUACCUAAAGAAUAAGGAUCGGCUAACUCCGUGCCACCAGCCGCGGUAAUACGGAGGAUCCGAGCGUUAUCCGGACUUAUUGGGUUUAAAGGGUGCGUAGGCCGCACUUUAAGUCAUGAGUGAAAGACGGUAGCUCAUCUGUCGCAGUGCCCUUGAUACUGAAUUGCUUGAAUGCGAUUGAAGACGGCUUAAUGAUGCAAGUAUCGGUGAAAUGCAUAGAUAUAUCACAAACACCGAUAGCGAAGGCUGCUGUCUAACCGUUAUUGACGCUCAUGCACGCAAGCGUGCGAUCGAACAGGAUAGAUACCUGGUAGUCCCGCCCUAACGAUCAUGACUCGAUGUUGCGAUAUACCGGAGCCUCCAUCAAAGCGUUAUUCUCCCCUGGAGAGACGCCCGGAGGAUGAACUCAAAGAUUGACGGCCCCGCACAGCGGAGAUGUGUGUUUAUUCGAUGAACGCAAGAACUUACCCGUCUGAAAUUACAGACGGACAAAUCGCACCGUCUUCGGAAGGAACUAGUGCUGAUGGUUUCUCACUC